CACUCCUGCGGGAGGCAGCAGUGGGGAAUAUUGCACAAUGGGCGCAAGCCUGAUGCAGCCAUGCCGCGUGUAUGAAGAAGGCCUUCGGGUUGUAAAGUACUUUCAGCGGGGAGGAAGGCGAUAAGGUUAAUAACCUUGUCGAUUGACGUUACCCGCAGAAGAAGCACCGGCUAACUCCGUGCCAGCAGCCGCGGUAAUACGGAGGGUGCAAGCGUUAAUCGGAAUUACUGGGCGUAAAGCGCACGCAGGCGGUCUGUCAAGUCGGAUGUGAAAUCCCCGGGCUCAACCUGGGAACUGCAUUCGAAACUGGCAGGCUAGAGUCUUGUAGAGGGGGGUAGAAUUCCAGGUGUAGCGGUGAAAUGCGUAGAGAUCUGGAGGAAUACCGGUGGCGAAGGCGGCCCCCUGGACAAAGACUGACGCUCAGGUGCGAAAGCGUGGGGAGCAAACAGGAUUAGAAACCCUAGUAGUCC
rnacentral:rRNA from 1 species